rnacentral:rRNA from 1 species
GACGUAGGGCGCGAGCGUUGUCCGGAUUUAUUGGGCGUAAAGAGCUCGUAGGCGGCUUGUUGCGUCAGACGUGAAAUCCCUCAGCUUAACUGGGGAACUGCGUCUGAUACUGGCGAGCUUGAGUGCAGGAGAGGAACGCGGAAUUCCAGGUGUAGCGGUGAAAUGCGUAGAUAUCUGGAGGAACACCGGUGGCGAAGGCGGCGUUCUGGACUGCAACUGACACUGAGAAACGAAAGCCAGGGUAGCAAACGGG